GGCGUAUGUGAUUGGUUGAGUUAAGUUUACAGACUAGGAUGACGGAAAGCUGUAGCUGUUUAGCAAAAUAAAAAUAUUCGUGCGAUUUAUAACAUGUAUGCUCAUUGCAAGAAAAUCGCAAAUACUGCUCCAGAUAUGAAUGAGGUUCUUACAGAACUGCAAAACACUGCAGUGCAGAAGCUGACCUCCACUGAUGAGAAACCAUGGUGGUCAGGAUACAGCGGACGAUUCACUGUCCUCCCUGCUCCUGCAUCGGACCACACACUCUGCUGAAAUGUAACGGUUAUACAGUAAUGCUCAUUCUAUGUAAUUUCUUUUUUAUUAACAAAUGGUCUGCAUCAAUACUUAUUAGUACUUAUUAAGACAAAUGCUUUGACUAGCACUGUCAGUGUCAGGCACGGGAAAACGUCUCAGGUUAUGUACGUAACCAUGGUUCCCUGAGAGGGAACGAGAUGCUGCGUCAAACGCUGUGGGAACGCCUCUGCAUGAUUGUGUCAUGAAGCACAUGUGAAAUCAUAGGUGGGUGACGUCAUGACCAGGAAAAUAUAAAGCACACUUGAACCAAACAGCAGGAAAUUAGAAUUUUUGUCCACACAAAACUUGUAUUUGGAACAAUCGUUUUUAUUUUGCACCAUAACAAAUCUUUAUUUUAUGAAAACUGGUUUCAAUAUAACAUUUCUUCCAUAUUGGACAUGAUGGACGACUAUGGUAAUGUUCUCAAUUACAGUGAUUUUUGUUUAAAACAUGGGUUUGUAUGUCAUCCUAAAGAGUUUUACAAUGUUGUAAAUGCCAUACCAAAAAACAUGGUAUUAUUAGUAAAAGCGAUUCUUUCACAUUACUCUGUGACAUUCUCUCUCCCAUCUCCUUGUCUGGGUGAAUUGUUUAUUAGGGAUCAUAAAUGUAACAACAAGCAUAUAAGAAGUGUUUUCAUUGAUAAACUUCAUCCAAAUAGAAUUAAAUGAUAUUAUGUUUUCAAAGAUUUUAACCCUAAAGAGGUGAAGGAAAUGAGAAUGAAUUAUCUUACCUUUCCAAGUCUCCCUAAAAUGAAAGAACUUCAUUUUAAAAUAAUAAAUGACAUAUACCCAUCUAAAGAUUUCCUCAAAUCAAAAUUUGACAUUGGAGAAAACUCUUGUCAAUUCUGUGAAAUUGAUAUUGAAACCACUGAAUAUAUACAUUUUUUAUUGUAAUUACUCAAAGUUAUUUUGGACUCAAUUGUGCAGGUAAAUGUCAUGUAUAAUUACAUGUAAAACCCCAUGAAUACAAACAAGUUUGGUGUACUUAAGAAAGAUUGUUCACAACAUUACUUGAUUAACAACCUUUUCCAAGUUGCUAAAUACUUCAUUCAUAAGUGUAGAUUUCUGAACCCCCCCCCCAUCCUUUCCUCACUUUUCUAAUGAACUUAAAAUUUUUGCUGUUUCUCUUGAUGCCCUUUCAAAUGAAAAAGCUACAGUUGCCAAUUUCUUCAGUGAACUAAGUGCCCUAUAACUCCUUGCUACAAUAUAUAUAUUUUUUUAUUUUUUUUAUUUUUGUUCUUCAUUGCCCUUUACGAUUAUACAUUUUAUGUAAAACUUCACUGUUACAUAUUGUAAUUGCAACUAUGUCUGCCUUUGAGAAUUGUUAAUUGUUAAUAUUGUUUGUUCAAUGCCUAUUUUGUAUGUGUUUAUUUGCUAUUAAGUAAAAAAAAAAAAAAAAAAAAGCAUUAGCUUCUGAUAGGUCGAAGCAAGUUGGUCACAGGCAGCAGGGAGUAUGGUAAAGUAAUGCAGCGUCUUGUUCCCUCUCAGGGAACCAUGGUUACGUACAUAACCUGAGACGUUCCCUUUCAAGGGAACUCACACUGCGUCUUAUCCUGUGCGAAUUGGCCAUUAAUGUUACAGACGUCCUGUGGUAAAAUUACAUUACUUCAUCUCCCCAUGUAAAACUAAUCCCGUCCGAAUAGGGCUAAUCUUAUGCAAUGCGGUCAGAUAUGUUUUCGGGAAAGGAUCAAAACAUAACCGUAUUACUUUAAUUUAACAUGAAUAGUUAGUAUGUUACUACCUUGAAGCUGAAAACAAUAGCAAUGUUUCUUUUGGUAACUGAUGAUAAUUGCGCUCUGCUCUCACGUUCUUCGCACGCGCGACCAAGUGUAGUGUGGCUGCACGGCUCCCUCUGUUGGUGAAAAUAAUCACUACACGAUUGCUCCAAUAACCAGCAGGUUGCUGUACGCUGGUCGGAUUUUUUGCAAUGUUUUUGCGGGUUAUUUUGAACGAGCUAUGAAACGGGGACAUUUCCGGGGACAGCUCUAGUCAGGGACGGAGCACCAAAAACCGGGACUGUCCCCGGAAAACAGGGACGUCUGGUCACCCUAGCAUAGGGAGCAAUGACAUUUAUUUCCUCAAGAUCCAUAAAAGUACUAAAAACACU